rnacentral:rRNA from 1 species
GAGACAGCAGUAGCCGCGGGAAUACGGAGGGUGCAAGCGUUAAUCGGAAUUACUGGGCGUAAAGCGCACGCAGGCGGUCUGACAAGUCAGAUGUGAAAUCCCCGGGCUUAACCUGGGAACUGCAUUUGAAACUGUCAGGCUGGAGUCUUGUAGAGGGGGGUGGAAUUCCAGGUGUAGCGGUGAAAUGCGUAGAGAUCUGGAGGAAUACCGGUGGCGAAGGCGGCCCCCUGGACAAAGACUGACGCUCAGGUGCGAAAGCGUGGGGAGCAAACAGGAUUAGAUACCCGGGUAGUCCCUGUCUCUUAUAC